CAGAGAUUGCCUUGUUCUUUUCCUUCCUUACUCCCUGUCCCUCUUCUCUGCCCUUCCCUUUGCUUCAUGGUUGCGGUCAACUAAAUGCGAAGCGGAACACUUAGCCCAACACCCGUUGUUGUUGGCCCAACACAAUACCAUUGCCAUCGCUCCAACAUCAGGGGAAGAUUUGGGGAUCUCUUCUCAUUGCCCUCGGCCAACAGCAUAUAGUGUCGGUUUUCCAACCCAGGUUCUUUCUCACCUGCUCAUAGUAGCAAGUUUGCUCCAAUUGACUUUUGGGUCGAUCCCUCCUAGGCUCUUAGCAUUGGUCUUUCUUUUCGCAAUUCAAGCAUGCAUAAACGCACGCCAGAUCUCAGUCGUUUGAGCAUUUCGCGGAGGUCUUCAUACUGCCAUAAGAUGAAACUAGCGGCGACAAACGGAGAGGCCUCCUCAACUAAAAGAAAAAAUGGGCAGCCAUCUGAUUGAAAGGAACAAAAUGCCCUGAAGAAGGGAUGGUUGCUUUGGAUGAAAUUAAUGUCAAUCAGUGA